UUUAUGGAGAGUUUGAUCCUGGCUCAGGAUGAACGCUGGCGGCGUGCCUAAUACAUGCAAGUCGAGCGAACGGACGAGAAGCUUGCUUCUCUGAUGUUAGCGGCGGACGGGUGAGUAACACGUGGAUAACCUACCUAUAAGACUGGGAUAACUUCGGGAAACCGGAGCUAAUACCGGAUAAUAUUUUGAACCGCAUGGUUCAAAAGUGAAAGACGGUCUUGCUGUCACUUAUAGAUGGAUCCGCGCUGCAUUAGCUAGUUGGUAAGGUAACGGCUUACCAAGGCAACGAUGCAUAGCCGACCUGAGAGGGUGAUCGGCCACACUGGAACUGAGACACGGUCCAGACUCCUACGGGAGGCAGCAGUAGGGAAUCUUCCGCAAUGGGCGAAAGCCUGACGGAGCAACGCCGCGUGAGUGAUGAAGGUCUUCGGAUCGUAAAACUCUGUUAUUAGGGAAGAACAUAUGUGUAAGUAACUGUGCACAUCUUGACGGUACCUAAUCAGAAAGCCACGGCUAACUACGUGCCAGCAGCCGCGGUAAUACGUAGGUGGCAAGCGUUAUCCGGAAUUAUUGGGCGUAAAGCGCGCGUAGGCGGUUUUUUAAGUCUGAUGUGAAAGCCCACGGCUCAACCGUGGAGGGUCAUUGGAAACUGGAAAAC
rnacentral:rRNA from 1 species